ensembl:lncRNA novel transcript
AGCCCCAGACCAGCCCUACAGGAGUUUGCUCCAAGCGCCACUGGCCUGGCCCAGCACACAGAUCUCCCAGAAAGGAAAAUAAAAGCACCUUGAGGACAGAGCUGGAAGUAGUCUACCUGGGUAUUCUCCACAGCUGCAAGCUCAAUGUCCUGAGCUUGCUGGUACUCAGAAAAUGUUUAGGAACUUCUUUUUACAUUGAGGGUAGUGCUUAUGGGCAAAAUGAAUGCCCAUGGGCCUAGCCCUGAGAUGGCUGGACAGCAAGAAAGGAGAAAGGACAGCAUGGGCAAUUUUCCACACAUGUUUUAAGUUUACAGGGGGAAAGAGACCAAGAGAAUAAGAUCAAGUCAAAUCAAACCCAUGUAUAAUAAUACCAUUA